AUCGAACGCCCUACGUUCUGCACCCCCCGCCCUCCAAUAUCCCUUCUCCCUCUGAUCAGCCUUGUGCAGGAAGCUGAGGGUCUGCGUGGAACUGUUUUCUCCUAGUUCCACACCUUAAUUUUUAAUGUUUAGUGUCAAACCUGCUGCUCAUUGAACUGCAGUGACUGUGCAACGCAGCUCUAACCAGCAUUCGCUUUCAGGCGGAGUCCGGCCAGCCACACCAGAGCGCUUGCUCAGAUCCAGCAGGGCGAGCUGGCCAGGGCUGCUCUGCUGCCUGCCUUCUGCCAUAGCCCGGAAUUCCUCCCCUUCAUCUCUGGUUUCUUCCUCUCAGGACCCUUCUCAGACGGGGGGAAAAAAAAGAAACACAAAACCAAAAAACAACUUUCACCAAGGGAGCAGCUGACCUCAUGGUACAUGUGGUUCUCAAAAUGAAACGCUGGCAUGGAGUGGGCAGAGGCUGCGUUUGGGUCCGGUUGCCUUUCCAAGUGUCUGAUGCUCUCCGCUGGUGUUCUCAAGGAAGCUUCUGCAGGCUUCUAUGACACAGGAGCAGAAACCUCUGGCUCGGUUCCUUUGGUCUGCCUUCCGUUGGGACCCAAGCCCUGAGAUCUCCACAGUGAUUGCAGGCCAGGGGAACCAAAUAAUAAGCUAAUUUGUCAUCCUCAGUUCGUGUCAGGAGCACACUUAGAAUGCAACCUGCUUUUCGUGUUUCCAUAAAAAGAUUUUAUAUCCUAGAGGAGAAGAGGGCUCUUGAUCUGAAUCCUAUUCUCAUCCCCAUAAUCAGAUUUCAACAAUAAUAUUAAAAAAAAAUCAGUCUGACUUUGUCUGCUCAGAAGACAGACCAAAAACUGGGAUUUCCCCCUCCCCCUGAGUUAAAACCAGCCUUUGUCUUAAGGAAACCAGUGUUAUGGACUUAGAUCUAUUUCUGUUUCACUUUUGAAAGCGCCUGUAAUUACUGAGCUCUUGAGGUUUUAUUGGAUAAUGUGUUGGAAGGAAGGCCAGGGACUCUGCCUCUCGCUUGCCAUGGGAUGUGGUGCCAUGUUCUUGCCUUGCUUGCUCCAUUUGUGUUCCGAUUUUUGUAAGCUGGGAAGCAUACGUCAAUGUGUGAUAAUAGUUUGGGAGACCUGGCUUUGGGAGUCAAAUGCCCAGAAGAACAGAGAUUUGCCCCAACACUAGCCAAUGACCCACUCAUUUUCAACAAGCCCUUCUCGAGAGAGACUCCAAGACAAAUGAAAAGCUUGAACGAAUUCCUCUAGGAUUUCUCCUAAAGUCCCUUUCUGGCAGCAGGGCUGUGCAGAAUUAGAAAAACAGAAGGUCAAGGAGUGGGGUCUCUUGGCCCACACUCCCUAGCCCCGGCCUUGCACUCACCAAGCCCCCUUUCUACCUGGAGCUUCUGUGGAGUUUCAUCUGGUGCAGAGGUAGGGGUGUCAUCCAGGGCUUGCAAUUCCUGCCCUCAGGGCUCUUCACACAUAAUUUCAUCAUUCCCAUGAAAUACGAUGGUGAGUGUUUGUUCAUCGGAGUAGUCUGUCUUCCCCUUCCUCCAACAGACCUUCCCCCAAACUUACGAUAAGAACUUGCCUUGCCCCUUUGGAAGUGGUGAAGUGCCAUGGUCUGAUAAUCCAGGAUACUAAAUUAAUAAGGAGCCCCAGAGUUUAUUUGGCACUGGAGAGUAAGCCUCUCAGCAGCUGACAUUUUAUCUAGGUUGAGGAUUGGGUUUGUAUGAGAAUUUAGUGUUCCAGCAAGAACUAAACUGUGCUUGUUUGUUGCAGGUUGAUGCUUCCAGUUUAUGAGUUGCCGGCUCAGACUUGAUGGAGGAUUAUGUGUGUUUUGCUAGUUUGUCAGCCCCUGAUGUCAUUGUGCUGGGGAAAGAGAGCCCUUGGAGGCUUAAUCACGCUCUACUCUGGGGCUCACCAUUCUCCUAUAGUCUCGUCGGGUUCCUUGUAUGUUUUCAUGCCCACCCGCAAGGCUGCGCAUCUGUGCAUCUCGUGCGGGUCUUAUCCUCUUCUCUUUGGGCUCAGUUUCCAAUCAGGAUGAUGGAGGGUAAUCGUGUAUGGAGACAGCAGAGCGGACUUAGGGUCUUUUGGUGCCACUUGUCCCAUGGAAAAAAACUCUUUCAAAUCACUUUCCACCAAAAAGAAGAAAAAAAAAUGCGUUGGAAUCUACUGGUGUGUAUUUCAUGUAACUUAGAGUAAUCCAUACAGUUUGACAGGUGGAACAUGUAUUAGGCACUGAGCAAGGUGCAAGUCUAAAGAAUUUUUUUAAAAAUCAUCUGAAAAGCACAGUGAAUCCUUUCAGAGAGCCUCACCUUGGCUGUGUCAUUUCAAGUCAAAUUGAAUUUCAGAGGCAAAGGUUCACAUCUUGGUGUUCGUGACACGUGACUAAGUAAAGACACUUUCUGAAAGGCCUCAGGUUCCGUCCCCUGCUGCAUUGGAGUGGCCAAGAUGCUUUCUUUUUACCUUUUCAUUUUCCUUCAUAGGGGCUUCCCUGGUAGCUCAGCUGGCAGACGCCUUACCUAUUGAGCCACCAGAGAAACCCACUGCUAAACACCUCCUGUAGCCCUGCUCCAAGCCUGGCUCUGAAAGCUAGGCCUGGGCUUCAUCCCUGUCCAGAGAGCUUGGUUGCAGUUGUGGGGUGGGGAGACCAUCCAAUGAGCUGGUGGAGUUGACAGGUGCCUGGAGAGUAGCUCCUGCCUUGGCCCCAGGCCUGGGGAGAAACACUAUUUGAGCUGAAGGAUGACGUGUUUCUGGAGGCAGGUGGGGGCCCUGGGAGGCUGGAAGUGGGACUCCGAGGGUGAGGCAGGCCAGUGGACACGGUGUCUUCCUUCUCCUCCCACCCAGACUGGAUCCACUAAAUUCCUACUUCAGUCUUUAAAGAUUUUUUAAAUUAACAACUUUAUUAUUUUUUUCCUUAUAUUUUAUUUUAUUUUACUUUACAGUAUUUUAUUGGUUUUGCCAUACAUCAACAUGAAUCCGCAAGGGGUGUACACGGGUUCCCCAUCCGGAACCCCCCUCCCACCUCCCUCCCCAUACCAUCCCUCUGGCUCAUCCCAGUGCACCAGCCCCAAGCAUCCUGUAUCCUGCAUUGAACCUGGACUGGCGAUUCGUUUCUUAUAUGAUAUUAUACUUGUUUCUAUGCCGUUCUCCCAAAUCAUCCCACCCUCGCCCUCUCCCAC
ensembl:lncRNA